AGGACGAACGCUGGCGGCGCGCUUAACACAUGCAAGUCGAGCGAGAACCAGGGCUUCGGCUCUGGGGACAGCGGCGAACGGGUGAGUAACACGUGGGUAAUCAACCCUCGACAUCGGGAUAGCCCGGGGAAACCCGGAUUAAUACCGAAUGCUCCGUCUGGCCUUCGGGCCGGCCGGAAAAGGUAGCUUCGGCCUCCGGUCGGGGACGAGCCCGCGGCGGAUUAGCUUGUUGGUGGGGUAAAGGCCCACCAAGGCGACGAUCCGUAGCUGGUCUGAGAGGACGAUCAGCCACACUGGGACUGAGACACGGCCCAGACUCCUACGGGAGGCAGCAGUGGGGAAUCUUGCGCAAUGGGCGAAAGCCUGACGCAGCGACGCCGCGUGAGGGAAGAAGGCCUUCGGGUUGUAAACCUCUUUCAGGAGGGACGAAGCCACUCGGGUUAAUAGCCCAGAGGGUGACGGUACCUCCAGAAGAACGCCCCGGCUAACUACGUGCCAGCAGCCGCGGUAA
rnacentral:rRNA from 1 species